rnacentral:rRNA from 1 species
CCUACGUGUGGCAGCAGUGAGGAAUAUUGGUCAAUGGGCGGAAGCCUGAACCAGCCAAGUAGCGUGCAGGAUGACGGCCCUACGGGUUGUAAACUGCUUUUAUACGGGAAUAACGCGCCUUACGUGUAGGGCUUUGCAUGUACCGUAUGAAUAAGGACCGGCUAAUUCCUUGCCAGCAGCCGCGGUAAUACGGAAGUGCCGGGCGUUAUCCGGAUUGAUUGGGUGUAAAGGGAGCGUAGGCGGCAUGUCAAGCGUGCUGUGAAAGGUCCGGGCUCAACCCGGGCAUUGCAGCGCGAACUGGCGGGCUUGAGUCCGCGGAAAGCAGGCGGAAUUCGUGGUGUAGCGGUGAAAUGCUUAGAUAUGACGAAGAACCCCGAUUGCGAAGGCAGCUUGCUGCAGCGGAACUGACGCUGAUGCUCGAAAGCGCGGGUAUCGAACAGGAUUAGAUACCCCUGUAGUC